rnacentral:lncRNA from 1 species
CUUACUAUGGCUCAUCUAGUGGUUCUUGCUCUUUCAGAAAGUACCAUGGCUGCACUCACGCUCCAGUGAUAAGGAAGCUACCAUCAAAGUGCCUCAGUUCCUUAUAACCAGGCAAGACUGGUGGAAGGUGAUGUAUUGAAAGCCCAAGGCUGUCUCACGUGGCCACGGGAGUUGUUGCCUACCAGUAUUUGUAUCUACUUCUAGGAGUCUAACAUUGUAUCCUCAUAAAAGUAUCUUUUCUAGUGAUUUUUAAAUUUUUAUUAGACUUAUUUCAUAUAUUUUGCCUGCAUGUAUAAUCAUGCCCCCCGUGCAUACCUACUGGCUGUGGAGGUCAGAAGAAAUGAUAGGAACCCCUGGGAUUGGAGCUACAGGUGAUUUUGAGUCCUCAUCUGGGUGCUGUGAAUGGAAGCCAGAACAUCUGCAAGAAUAACAACUGCUCUUGGCCAAUGUCUCUCCUUUUCUUUGCCUUUUCUCUUUAUUUUCACCCGACCUUAAAAGGGUUCUCAUUUAUUUUUUUUUGAGAUUGUCUCACUUUGUUGGCUUGACAGGCUUGGAACUGGCCAUGGAGAUCAUUCUGGCUUUGCACUCUCAGACAUCUCAUGGCCUCUGUCUUCUUCUGAGUCCUAGGAUUAAAGUUGUUUACCACCACACCUGACCUUUUCUCAUUUUUCAAAGAUUGAAAACUAGGAAGGAUUAUCAGGAAACAGGAAAGGGAAGCCAUAUGGAAGAUUAAAAGUGAAAAUAUGAGAUGAACCAUCAUGUGCUUCUGGCUGGAGGUAUCUCAUGAUCCCCAGAGAAUAGAACUCUCUUCUUGCUGAGAAGUAAACUGAACCACAGCUCAUUCACCAGGAAAAUGGAGCACUUGCCUCAUAGAUGGUGAUGACUUACUAACGAGAGGCAGAAGCUGAAGCUGCACAUGCAUAAAAUCAGAAGCCUGAUUCAUCGGGACUACAAUCAGGCAGCUCAGGAUCUUUCCCAUGGGUUGUCAAAGUGCUCCUCUCUGGGAGGAACAGGCU